AGUGAACAAAAAAACAAUAAGCCACUAAUAUAAACAGACAGUUCGUUAAACCGUACAUAUUAUAAUUUUCAGUUCAUCGGAGUGAGAUGAUUAGAUGGAGAUGGAUGAAGAUGGCUGUUUCUUCGGCGAUGGCGGCACUCUAGCUACGUUUCACCGGAAGAGUAGAUGUUUACGAAGUCGUUGCAGAAGACACAUUCGACUAAAAAUUCUAAAAUUUCAAUAAGCAAAGAAGAUAUUCUAAGUUCUGGCUGUAUUCUGGAGCGUUUCCUCAUGGGCGUCGCAAUUCACACACGUCACAGAUUCCGCCGAAGGAGUCGAUA